rnacentral:rRNA from 1 species
GACGAACGCUGGCGGCGUGCUUAACACAUGCAAGUCGAGCGGAAAGGCUCCUUCGGGGGUACUCGAGCGGCGAACGGGUGAGUAACACGUGAGUAAUCUGCCCUGCGCUCUGGGAUAGCCACCGGAAACGGUGAUUAAUACCGGAUAUGACCGCUACACGCAUGUGUUGGUGGUGGAAAGUUUUUCGGCGCAGGAUGUGCUCGCGGCCUAUCAGCUUGUUGGUGAGGUAAUGGCUCACCAAGGCUUUGACGGGUAGCCGGCCUGAGAGGGUGAGCGGUCACACGGGGACUGGGACACGGCCGAGACUCCUACGGGAGGCAGCAGUGGGGAAUCUUGGACAAUGGGGGGAAGCCUGAUCCAGCAACGCCGCGUGAGGGAUGACGGCCUUCGGGUUGUAAACCUCUUUCAGUACCGACGAAGCGAAAGUGACGGUAGGUACAGAAGAAGGACCGGCCAACUACGUGCCAGCCGCCGCCGUAACAC